ensembl:antisense Gm16268 uncharacterized LOC110326179
GUCCCUCUCUGGUGAACUGUGGUAACUUCUCUGCAAACCUAUGAUGUAAUGGGGUGAAGAGAUUUGGAGUAUACAGGCAAAAGAGGGGGAACCUGAGGUCCGUUCAACCCGGGCUUUCACCCGUGCCUGCCCCAUGGCGACUCCAUCCCGCUGACACUGUGCCCUCUGAGGUGGGUGGGUUGGAGGGUGCGUGGGUGUUACAGAAACUUGCUGAGUUGUGAGCAAGUAUCCACAGCGAGGAAGGACCAGAAGUUGACGGCUUGAAGCAACAGGAUCAGAAGGCUUCAAAGUCAUGCCUCUAACCAGACGUCAGAUGAAGGAAGGGCGACACAGGCAUCACUUCCUGGAGAGUGACAAUGGGUUACCUACCAGAACCCUGCCUGAGGCACUUCUGGGGGUGAUAAUCAAGUUUUGGGGAGACAACAAUGUGUCUAUGAUGUGGAUGACUCCGUUGGUGCUGAUGAUGUCACUGGAUAGGACCUUCGCCUUCUUGUUUAUGAGUACAGUAUCCUGAAGACAAACGAGACCAGCAAAAGAUGUGAGCACAGAGAAACUCCAGAGUCCUUCCCUGAAGAACUAAUACUUCCCGGAUGUGCAGGGGAAGCUGGGCACUCCAAGGGCAGAGCCCGAAGGCCCUUUGGCAAGCACAUUGCUUAUUAUGAUCCUAAGGGGAGAUGGAGAUGAGAAUGCAGUUUUCAACCAUGAGGGAAGCAUGACAAGGAGACAUGGUGAAAGACAGGAGGUAGGGACGGGCUAAACAAGAGAGCUUCCCUGUGAGGUGUACCUUGUCCUGCUUCUUCUGGUAUGCCUAGCCUGUGUCCUCUGCUUCCUGUCCACCAGGCGGCAUAUAAAAGGAGUGCCCGCCAUCGCAGUUCUCUCUGUUCCCACAUGUGCCCGACCCAUUUCCCUAACCCAUUUCUGUCCUUCUCCAUCCCCACUUUCUCUGCUUUCCUGGCUCUGCUCACAUCUGUCUGCCUCUACUCCCUCUCCAGGUCCUCACUCCCUCCCUUCCCCUAAAUAAAGCCUCUUUAACUAGG